CCUAUCUUGACCUUACAAUCCAAUGGCUCCUGAGUCGGUGGGAAUUCCAAGCCUGCCCUUGUCCAGUGUAUCCUGGUCACCUGCAGGCUUGUCUGUCCCUGAAGGUGAUGAAUAACAUCUCCAGUGGCUGACCUUAGCCCUGCAUUGGUGGUUAAACAGUUAACUGUUACUGGAGCAGUGAUUGCAAUGACAGUGCCUAGUUAUGUAGUGUAGUGUUCAGCACUGUCCUUAUGAGGAGCACAAGGGCUCCAAGAGGGCAACAGGGUCUCAAAUUACGUUCUGUAGAUCCCACUGAAUAGUAACAGAGAUCUUUUGGGGUUUUGUUUUCUCACAUGAUUUGGGUACAUCUAGAAUUGGCCUCCUCAACUAGAAAACUGUGUGUGUUAUGGGCAUGUGGUGUGGAAACUUUUUGGAGCAGUUCGAGCUGUUGUAGGUGCAUUAAUUGUUGGAAGUAAUAAUCUGUGUGGGGCGAUGGAAAAGCUGUGGUUUAGGGAACCUCUGUUCCUGUUCCCGUACUUCCUGGACACAUGACCUUGGACGAGUCUUUGGGGCCUUUAAUGUCUCCAUUUCUUCAUUUGUCAAACGAGAACCUUGUCUAUCUCACAGGCUUUCUUCUCUAAUUUGAGGAUUAAAUAAUGUAUAAAGAAGCAUUUGAAGAACUUGGAAUAUUUUCUCACUAGAAUGUAUUUAGUGCUGCUAUUUAGUAAGUAUUUAUAGGAUUGAAAUCUGGGCAGGAGAUUACUUUUUAUGAUUCUCAUGUUGCUUUAGAAACCGAGUAACUCUUAUUGAGGAAUUAUAUAAGUUUGUUUUCAUUGUCCAAGAUUAGGAAGUAUUUGCUGUAGUUUUCCUUUAGUUACUACUUCCCAGCCCUGAGUUAAAACUUCAUAUGCCUUUUGGUAUCAAUCUUCAGAAGGUGUCCAAACUUCCUUUUUUUUUUCUUCACAUCUUAGAAUGUUCCAAGUGACACCGCAUUGCUCCCUCCUUUUGCCUAGAUCUUGAUCUGUUCAUUCCAGCAGCUGACCCUUUAUGGGCCUUCUUCCUGUCCUUGUUUGUGUUCUCAGAGAAGGAAACAGUUAUGUAAACAAUUUUUUUAUCAAACACUGUUGCAAGUGUAAGGAGGUGACUUUUAAGAGAGCCAGAGCAAUAGAACUUACGGUGAAGGUGCUGUGUCUACUUUAGUGAGCUUACUCCUGUCGGAGCUCCGAAGGGGGCGCUCUCCCCGAUUCUGUCGCCUUCUCACCACCUUCACUUCCAUCGCCCUUGCCCAGGAUGCCACCAUUCUCACUCGACUUUUGCACAUUACUGAUAUCCAUGCUUCCACUUCUUCCUUCCUGCGGUCCAUUCUCCGUUCAUCAGCUUGUAUCUUGUUUAAAGCAUAAAUGAAGCCAUGUCACUCCUCUGCUUAAAACCUACCAAUGUCAUCCCAAUGCAGUUAGGAUAAAAUUCAACUUGUUUCUGCCGCCUCCAGGCCCUGUGUGAUCCAGCGCCCCCCUUGCUUGCCCACUCUGACCCCCCUCCAACGAAGUAUCCCUAGCCACCUUGGCCUGCCUUCUUCUCUCAUGAAGACUCACCUCUCAUCUCAGUCUUUCAAUUUGCUGUUAUUUCAUCCUUCAGUGCUGUCUGUCUGCUUUAGAUCUUGUGGUUGCAUCGCCUCAUCAUUUAAUUGCCAGGGAAAUGUUGAUUUCUUCUGGAAAGUUUCCUGCCUGCCCUAGAGAAGCAACACAGGCACACGCGUGCACCCCGUGCUGGCAUUCUUUGGCACAGUGCCCUACUUUAUUUCCUAAGCAAACCCCAUGUCCUCUAAGAUGUAACUGUUGUUGCUGAUGUUCAUCCACCUCCCUUUAAUGGAGCAGAAGUUCCAAAGGCACUUUGUCGGGGGCACCACUCCAUCCAUAGUACCUGUCUCGCAGUAGGAGCACAGCUCUGAUAUUUGUAUGAAAAAAACAGUUACCGUGCAGCUGGAGUACAAUGGAUGCUGUGUGGUUGCUGUGGCUGUGAUUUUGGGUGCUUCCUGCAGCCUGGUUUCUUUUUGCCCUGUGGCCUUACAGCUGUCUCCCUCCCUGCCUUCCUUGUGGCAUAAGGGUAUUAGGGCUAAAAUGGGAACUCAUAAUUUUAUGUUUGUUUCCUUGGGAGCAAAGAGAAUAAUUAAUUGUAACUUGAAAAACAGAAUUGAGAUACCUUUACAUUCCUUAUCACCAAGGUAUUUUAUAGGCACCUGUCUGCUUUGUUUUCAUAAUGGAAAAUUUUGAUAGCUGAUCUCUCUCCUUCUUCCUAACCCCAUACAAUUUUUGCCGUCUCUCUUUUUUAGUAUGCAAAUUGUCUUUAAUCUUGAUAAAAUUCUAUAAGCCUUAGACUUUGAUGUGAUAUGCAUAAAUGUUUUGAAUUUCAUUUUAAUCUUCUUAGGUUAUCCAAUUUUAACAAAUUUUAUCAGAGUUUUAUAAGUCAAAAGUCACACAGAAGCAGAAAAAACCCUGCUCUUAGAAGGGCUCUAUCAAUAGUAAAAAUAUUUGUUACUUUAUUUUUCUUUGUAAACUGGUCACUACAAUUCUCGUGUGGAACACUUAGCAUGUUUAGAAGUAUGCCCUUGUAGGGGUUCGCCCCAGAUUAGGGUUCUUCCACGUGGAAGCGAGCCUCCCCUGUGGCCUUGCGCCUCCAGAUAGUCAUCUGCUGUGAUGUGACGCACAGCCGUCUGUGAGGAAGUGCCCUCCCUGUCUGGGGGUGAGUCUGAGACAUUUUUAAAGAAUUAUGUAUACACAUUAGUGUGUUAGACUUGCCGGACACCGUGUUCAAAUGUUCUUUCAUUUUAUAAAAUGGACUGCUUCAAUGAUAGCCAGCUAGAUCUUUAGAUACUAACACACUGGGAAGUAGAACUUGGUUAUGACUUAAUGACUUAAGACUGAGAUGAGCAAAUAUGUUUUUAGUCUUUUGGGUUGCAUUGUAAAUGCUGUUUACAUUUAUAUAAUAUAAUAAAGUGCAUUUAUUACUAUCUAAUGCAACAAAAUCGUUGCUGUAAUCAAGUAAUAAUUACUAAAAUAUAGAUUGUCAUUAAUGAUUAAUACUACUGAGGUUACUACUAGCACAUAUUUUAAACAUUAUUUUAACAGCUGUGAUUAACGGAAGUUUGAAUUUUAGUAACUGAGUAAACUGUGGCUAUUUCUGCAGAGGUUGGGUGUGCACGCAAUGAUUCUCAUGAACUUUGAGAUAAAUUAUACAACUUGAUCUUCUAUAAAAGUAUCUUAAAUACAACAGAAAGCUUAUGGUGCUGAUGCUUGCUGUCUUGUAGUAUGUGGCUGCGUGUCCUUUUGUGUUGUUUUGCCUCCGUUCCAUUUAACAGUCAGUAUGGUGCUUCCUGGUGUCUCUCCCCUUACCGAGCUCUGUACCUCUUAGAACUAAUCUCCUGUCUCACUUGGUCCUCCUGCUGGUCCGUGUCCUCGAGUGCCAGAACAGCCACUGUUGUUUCUGCCUUCCUAGCGUUUUGUCGUUUGCUAGACCUUGACUCUUCUCAUCUGGUGCCAUGAGUUUCUCAAGGGCUCAAGGCCACCACUGUUUGAAUUUAGACGGUUCUUUAGUUAUGGCUUCAUUUCAAAGACUAUUUUUCCUUUUUUAGAACUUGGUUGUUAGUGAACAUAACAUCAAUAAUGGAAAAAGAAGUGGAUUUAAAGUGGAAGGAAUAAGGUCUCGUCAUGAUACUGGAAUUUCAUGGCCUUGAGCAAGUCACUUUAACCUUUUUUUAACCUCUGUUGCCUCUUUCAUCAAAUGGAAAUGAUCAUACCUCCCUCACAGGGUUGUUGUUUAAAAAAGUGAAAAUGUCCUAUAAGUAUUAUCACCUGUCAGAGGACUCUGAUUUACGCCAAACAUGGACUUUUCAAAGUAAAAACUAAUUCACACACAAUUCAAAAUAUCAGACUUUUGUAUUUUCUUUUGUAUUCAUUUUUAUUUUAUUUUCAUUGACUUUUGUAUCCACUUUUAUUAUUUGAUGUGUUUUUUUUCUGCUACUAGAAAAUACUUCGUACCUCAGGAAUGUUUUGAAGGAGGACUGGUCUUGCCCAGGUCCUUGUGGGGCCUGAAUGGGCACCCCUCCCAGGAGGAAACUGGGCUUUGAUGACUGGAAAAGUCCCUGAUGUUGAUUGGCAACUUGGCCCACUCCUCUUUCUUCAUAAAAAGCAGAAGCAUCUGGCAGUGGACCUG